AAUUACUUGACUAACAUCAUUAGUGAAGUUGUGUGUUUUAGGUUGUUAGCCAAAUUGUUUGGAUGCCAUUUAUAUGUUUAUUUUAAAUGAACAUGAUUGGUAAGUUAAAUUCUUGUUAUACGAACUUAAUAAGCAUUAAAUGCUUAUUCUGUUUAUUUCCUCUAUUUUAUAGUACUCAGAAGCUCGUAAAGGUUGGAAGCUAGUCGAAGCAUCAUCAUACUAUCUCUCCGCUCAUUUUGG
rnacentral:lncRNA from 1 species